rnacentral:lncRNA from 1 species
CCAAAGUGUUAGGUUUACAGGCAUGAGCCACCGCGCCUACCCUUUAUUUCCCUCGAGUAAGUAUCUAGGGGUAAAAUUGUGACCUUGUGGUUAAGUGAACAUUUCACUCCUUAAGGAACAGCCAGUUUUCCAAAGCACUUGCACCAUCUUACAUCCCACCAGCACAGCAUGAGAGCUCUUGUUCUUCCACGUCCUCACCAGGACUUCAUAGGAACAGUUAAAACACAAAGGACUUUAUCUGAGGUAUAAGCUAGCAAAACAGCCUCCUGCAGGGAUUGCAGUGGAUGGAGGGUUUGCUGUAGCUGGAGAGCAGGCUGCAUGCUGGAAUCAGCAGGAGAGCCAUUUAAGCUUGCCCUAUCUGGGCCUCGUCCUAGAUCAAUUAAAUCCAAAAUUCUGGGGUGGUUCCCAAGCAUAAGAACUUUUCAAAGCUGCAUAGCUGAGGCUGAGGUCCACUGUUGCAGGAAAGGUAACAUCCUACAGAAAGAGCUAUUUUGCAGAGAAGGAUGGGACCUGGUGCCAGGGAAGGUGCUGCUGCCACCCAAAAGUUGAGCCUCCAUCAUCUCUCACCUGGACUGGUGCAGUCUUCUCCAAGACCCUAGGCUUCAGAAGCAGACGAGGGAACGAGCAGAAGAACAGAAGAACAGCAGAAUGGCAUGGCAGAGAGAAGAAAGGGACCAUCUGAACGCCAAGAGAAAUUCAGCUGGGGGAGGUCAGAGAGGAGAUAGACUGCAGGACAGCCAAGCUCCAGGGGAAGAUCAUCUUCCCACUCCAUCCCCUUUCCAGCUCCCCAUCCAUCCCGCUG